rnacentral:lncRNA from 1 species
GUUGCCCAAAAAGGAGUGGACUAACCAGCACGAGAGAGAGAAAAGGAAAGAUUCAAUGGAUUGCUAUACAGAAACAGAGAGAUAACCCUAGGUUUUCUGUUCUCAAAGGAGAGAAAUAGAAAGUUAAGAAAAGAAAACCUAGGUGUUCAUAUACUCGCAUAUCUUCAUCGAUUUAAUUGGGGGAUGAUUCUCAUAGAAAUAGAUAUAUAGACAGAGAUUAGAUUUUGUUCUGGAAUUGUUGGGAUUAGAUAGAUAUAUGGUUGAAAAUAGAUGAAUCGAUCGAUCGCUGCAUGAGAGAUAAAGGGGAGGAGGAAGCGAAUCGAUCGCUGAGAAAAAGUAGGUAGAGGAGAGAGAAAACUCAACAUGUCUGCCAUAGUGUGCGGGAAAAGAUCAAAUUUUUUCGAAGAUAAUACCCCAUCAUCAUCAUCGCCACCUGUUUCCAAGAGGAUUCGUUGUUCUUCUACUUCCCCUGUUCGUUUCUCACCGCCCAGAACCAAUACCAAUACCGCCUCUCUGUUUUCUUCUUCAUUCCAGUAUCCGUUUAAUUUGUCGUCAUAUUCAUCCUCGUCACGUUUGGAUCAUCUUGCUGCUCUCUUUCUUGAUAUGGAGAAACAGGUUUUCUUCUUAUUUUAUUUUUACGUUGAUUGUUGCAAUUGUUUAUAUUGUUUCAUGAUCUUUUAUGCCAUUACUUGCCGAUUUGCUGUAGUAGAAAUUACCCAAUUCGCGAAGCAGAAUGCUUGUUGCCGAUUUGCUGUAGUAGGAAUUACCCAAUUCGUGCUGUAGUAGAAAUUACCCAAUCAUACCCUCCGUCCGCUAGUGCAACUACCGGAUGUAUAUAAUCAUUCAGCUGAUUUGUUAUGGUUUAGUCUGUGGGGGCAAAAGUGUCUAAUAAUUUGAUUAAUUACGUCCGCUAAAAUUUCUAGCGGACGGUCCUAAUCUCAGCCAUCCAGAAAUAAAACGAAGGGUUUAGAUGCUAUAUGCCACUUUUUACUCCAUAGCAUAUAGAUGCUAUGGAUCAUUCUCCAUAUAUAUAUAUUAGACCUGACAAUAUAAUUAGUUAACUGUUCGGUCAAACCAUAUUAACUGAAAUCAAAUAGGUUGGUUAACCAUUUUUAUUUAUUCAGGUCGGUUAAAGUUUGGACCCAUAUUUUUUAAAACAAAUAUAGUUCUGAACUGGUUAACUAUUUUUCAACCCAUAUUUCAUUCCGAUUCAAAUCGAAAAGUUGUUUUCUCA